UCGGGUAAAGUUGAAAAAUUAUAAUAUCAAAUUAAAGAUGUAGACAAUAAAUACCCCAA
rnacentral:tRNA from 1 species